rnacentral:rRNA from 1 species
AUUGAACGCUGGCGGCAUGCUUUACACAUGCAAGUCGAACGGACUUAGGGGCUUGCUCCUGAGUUAGUGGCGAACGGGUGAGUAAUGCAUCGGAACGUACCGUGUAGUGGGGGAUAACGCAGCGAAAGUUGUGCUAAUACCGCAUACGAUCUACGGAUGAAAGCAGGGGAUCGCAAGACCUUGUGCUAUACGAGCGGCCGAUGUCGGAUUAGCUAGUUGGUGAGGUAAAGGCUCACCAAGGCGACGAUCCGUAGCGGGUCUGAGAGGAUGAUCCGCCACACUGGGACUGAGACACGGCCCAGACUCCUACGGGAGGCAGCAGUGGGGAAUCUUGGACAAUGGGCGCAAGCCUGAUCCAGCCAUGCCGCGUGAGUGAA